CGCCUCCUGAUAGAAGGUACAGCCUGCCCAGUGACGUUUAACGGCCGCGGUAUCCUAACCGUGCGAAGGUAGCGUAAUCACCUGUUUUUUAAUUAAAGACCCGUAUCAAAGGCACCACGAGAGUCACACUGUCUCCUUUUUCCAAUCAGUGAAACUAAUCUCCUUGUGAAAAAGCAAGGAUGAACCUACAAGACGAGAAGACCCUUUGGAGCUUCAGACAGUAUGAUGACCCCAACUCAUCAUUAGUCUUCGGUUGGGGCAACCACGGAGGAAAAAAUAACCUCCGAGAUGAAAGCAAAAACCACAAUUUUAACUAUCAAUAUUGACAUAAUUGACCCAAUACAUUGACCAACGAACCAAGUUACCCAAGGGAUAACAGCGCAAUCCACUUUAAGAGUCCAUAUCGACAAGUGGGCUUACGACCUCGAUGUUGGAUCAAGAUACCCAUGUGGUGCAGCCGCUACUGAUGGUUCGUUUGUUCAACGAUUAAAAUCUC
rnacentral:rRNA from 1 species